UACAGAGGUCUCAAGCGUUGUUCGGAUUCAUUGGCGUAAAGGGUGCGUAGGCGGCGCGGUAAGUCGGGUGUGAAAUCUCGGAGCUAACUCCGAAACUGCAUUCGAUACUGCCGUGCUUGAGGACUGGAGAGAGACUGGAAUUACGGUGUAGCUGGUGAAAUGCGCAGAUAUCAGGAAGGAAACACCAAUGGCGAAAGGCA
rnacentral:rRNA from 1 species